AUGUCGUCCAGGAAGACCGCGGGCCCGUCCCGCGCCGGCGGCGGCGCGAAGAAGGUGGCUAGCGGCGCGGGGGGCGUGAGCCUCCGGGCGCUGCGGGAGGGGCUUGCCCGUCAGAAGGAGGAGGAGGAGCGCAGGGCGCGCGAGGAGGAGUUGCAGGCGCAGGCGGAGGAGGCGAGGAGACGGCGGGAUGAGGAGGAGGAGGAGGAGAGGGAGAAGGUGAGGGAGCAGGAGCUGAAGCGGAGCGAGGAGGACCGGCAGCGGAGGAGGCUGGAGGAGAGGAAGAAGGAGGAGGGCCGGCGCGCGGAGGAGGCGCGCAGGCGGCUCGGCAUCACCGCCGUCGUUGAGGGCGGCGGCGGUGCUGGUGUGGACGACGAUGGCCGGAAGAAGCGGCCGGUGUAUCGCUCCAGGAGACCUGCGUGGAAGCCCAAGACUGUCGAAUCUGAAGCUGAUGGGGGAGGAGGCCAGGGCUCGAGCAGUGUUUCGCAAGAAGAGGAAAACAGUGCCGCCCUCAAUGAGGCGCUCAAAUUGGGGGAGGGAUCGAGCGAUGGAUCACUGGAAGAGGACAGAGCAUCAAUUGGCGAUGAUGAUGAUGAUGAUGAUGAGGAUGCUUGGGAUAGCAAGAGCCUGGAUGAAUUUGAUGUCAUGUCUGCUGCUGGCAAUUCCCACUCUUCUUCUUCUGAAGAAGAAACCAAAGAGAAACAUGUGGUCUCCGCUGCUCCGGUCGAUAAUUCAGACAAUGCAGCCAAUGAUGCAGGCAAUGAGAUUGUGGAGGAUAUCUUCGACCCUCAGGAUGUAGCUGGAGAUGAAAAGGAGCUUCGGGCACCCAUAUGCUGCAUCCUUGGGCACGUGGAUGCUGGAAAGACGAAGCUCCUCGAUUGCAUCCGGGGCACCAAUGUGCAGGGGCGGGAGGCCGGGGGCAUCACACAACAGAUUGGCGCCACCUACUUACCGGCUGAAAACAUCAGGGACAGGACGAGCUUAAAAGCUGAAACCGCCAUCAAAGUUCCUGGUUUGCUCGUGAUUGACACACCUGGCCAUGAGUCCUUCAGUAAAAUGCGUUCAAGGGGAUUGAGUAUGUGUGACAUCGCCGUGGUUGUCGUUGAUAUUACUAAGGGGCUUGAGAAGCAGACGGUUGAAUCCCUUCAUCUUUUGAGACGCCACAAUGUGAGCUUCAUUGUGGCCUUGAACAAGGUUGACCGGCUCUAUGGAUGGAAGGAAUGUACCAAUGCACCAAUAGUGGAGGCACUCAAGAAGCAAUCUGAUGACGUCAAAAGUGAAUACAAAUGGAGGUUAACUAAGAAGAAAAAAGUGGUUAACAUUGUCCCGACCAGUGCAGAAAGCGGUGAAGGUGUCCCAGAUCUUCUACUGCUACUGGUGCGAUGGCUCCCUGACAUAAUUACAGAUAAGCUGGCCUAUGAUGAUACAAUAGAGUGUACAGUACUAGAAGUCAAUGAACAUAAAGAUUUAGGAACUACUGUUGAUGUAGUACUGAUUAAUGGUGUGCUGCGACAAGGGGAUCAAGUAAUUGUUUGCACUAAACAGGGGCCUGUUACAACCAUUAUUAGAGAUUUGUUGACCCCUCAUCCAAUGAAAGAACUCAAAGCUAAGGGUGCAUAUAAGCAUCACAAGGAGGUCAGAGCUGCGCAGGGGGUAAAAAUUGUGGCACGGGGACUUCAAUAUGCAAUGGCUGGCACUUCUCUCAUUGUAGUGAAGCCAGGGGAUGAUUUGCGACAAGCUGAAGCAGCUGCAAUGCAAGAGAUUGAUAUGGCCAUUAGCACGACAGAUGAGACCGAAAAGGGAACAACAACUCAAGAAGUUAGUAGUAUCAUGACUUGCAAGGAGGGCAUCUAUGUGCAAGCUUCCAGUGUUGGAACCUUGGAAGCUAUCAUUGCGCACUUGAAGAGCAGUAGUGUGGACAUUCCUGUUUAUGCUUGGAACUUAGGACCCGUCUACAAGCAGGAUGUCAUGAAGGCAAGUGCCAUGCUGAAGCGGAAAGAAGAGUAUGCGGUCAUCUUGGCCUUUGACGUCAAAGUGAUGCCUGAGGCUAGUGCCCUUGCAGCUGAAUCAGGGUUGAAGAUUAUUACUGCUGAUACGGUAUAUAGGCUCGUCAACAUCUAUACUGAGCACAUUAAGGGAUUGAAGGAAGCGAAGAAAAUGCAAUUUGCAGCUGAGGCAGUUUUCCCAUGCACCCUGAAGAUUCUGCCAAACCGUGUCUACCAUAGCAAGGAUCCAAUUGUUUGCGACGUUGAAGUUGUGGAAGGUGUCGUCAAGGUGGGAACCCCGAUAUGUGUCUUCACCCCGAGCAAGGAUAAAAGCAAGAAUAUAAUAGUUCAUAGCCUCGGGAGGAUCUCCUCCAUGCAAACGUCCAAUGGCAAUCAGAUUUUCUCGGCCAGGAAUGGAGUUGUGGCCAUAAAGAUAAGCGGUGACAGUCCUCAGGAGAAAUCCCGGUCUUAUGGACGCCAUUUUGAUUCUAGCAAUGAGCUGGUCAGCGAGAUCUCGAGGAGAUCCAUUGAUGUACUCAAAGAGUGUUAUCGGGAUGAAAUGAGCGCUGAAAAUUGGCAGCAUAUCACCAGGUUGAAGCUGCAAUUCAAGAUAGCCUGA
rnacentral:rRNA from 1 species